CUCACUGUGGGGAAGCCAGUCACCAGCCCUACAGAGAGGCCCAUGAGGUGAGGAACUCAGGUCACCUGCCAAGCAUCAGCACCCGCUUGUCAACCAGGGUAUGUCCGGCUUCAUCACCAUGACAGACAAAAUAAGUUUAACAGAAAAUAUCGGGAUUGCUGAGUGCCCCUCCUCGGGAUAGUGAGAGACCCACCUCUUCUCCUGUGUCUACCAGUCCAGCGGACACCAUCCUGUUUUGCUUGAGGUCUCAGCUGAGGAGGGAAGUCAGGUCACUCCAGAGUUCCUUGUCUGCUGAGUCGUGUGGCACUGAGUUUGUAGUCAUUGUCACUACAUUCUGAAGAAGUUUUGAGACCCAGGAGAAGGGCUAGAGAGGUACCUUUUAUGCUGCAGGCCUCUCAAGCAAAUGAGUCCUGUUCACAGCACACAGAAGUUUUGCCCGGUAGAAAAGAGACUCAUGAUUUUACCUUUCUGAGAAUUAUAUCUGAGCAGAUCGCUGGUCCCCAAGGAAUCUACAAAGUCUCUCGCACCAUCCAUCCCUCCUGCCCCCCAAUCUGUUCAGGUGGCACCAGCAGCUGGAUCCUCUGGGUCGCCACUGUGCCCAGAACAGACUUCGAGGACAAGCUGCCCUUGUGUGCUUCUCUGCCAGCGUCUCCCUCCAGACUGCCAGCUCCCGAGGGCAGGGGCCAGGUCUGAUUCUUGCUGGAUCUGCAGAGCUCAGUAGAUGCUGUUGAGUGAAUUUAUGAAUAUACUUGGUUUGGACCACACCUCA